ACCGGAAGGCAUAUUGGGGUUUUCCAUCUCAUUCUUGCCUCCACCCUGAGGAAGGGAAGCUGGUGCGACAAGACUCGGGAGUGGGCUCCUUCCAGGUUUAGUGGUGCCUGCCACCAGAGGAACGCCCCAAGUCCAGGUGGCAAGAUGGAGCUGGUGGCUUGGGCCGAAGUUGUCCCAUAAACCUGGAUGCCGGAUCUGAUGUGGUAACCCUAUGAGGAGGGCUUUCUGGACUGGCGCCCCAGCCAACCAGUAGGACAUUCUUCGUGUAGACGGAGCGAUUCCAGAGCUUCUGCCACCCGUUUGCCUAUAGCUCAGGAGAAACAGAAGCCAUGGGGAGAAAACUUCCUACGGCUCCCAUCAUUUCACCUGCGUGCUCCACCUUCCUCGAGGGACUCCUCCUGCUCCUGCCCAAGUUCAUUCUUUACACAGAAGCCAAAGAAGGACAGUCCCUCAUCCUCCGCUCGGAUCGUCAGUGGUCUCCCAUCUUGUGGAGGGAAGGACCUGAGGAGGCUCCAGAAUGAAAGCUGUAUGGCAGCGGGACCUCUGUCCCCGUCAGUGAGCACAGUGCCUGCCACGUGGUUUUCAGGGCUGCCAUGGAAGGUCGUGAAGGUUAUUCACGGCUCCAGAGCUCCAGGCUGCAGUGGGUGCUGACAUCUAGCCUGCUCUCUGCUGUCCGUGCUGUGCGGCACCCAACAGGUUGUCCUCUGCUACAUUCUAAUGCAUGCCUGUGGGCUGGCUGCGGCUCUGUGUUGGGUGUUCAGUAAAUACUCAUGGAAUAAAUGACUG